GACGAACGCUGGCGGCGUGCCUAAUACAUGCAAGUUGAGCGAUGAAGAUUGGUGCUUGCACCAAUUUGAAGAGCAGCGAACGGGUGAGUAACGCGUGGGGAAUCUGCCUUUGAGCGGGGGACAACAUUUGGAAACGAAUGCUAAUACCGCAUAACAACUUUAAACAUAAGUUUUAAGUUUGAAAGAUGCAAUUGCAUCACUCAAAGAUGAUCCCGCGUUGUAUUAGCUAGUUGGUGAGGUAAAGGCUCACCAAGGCGAUGAUACAUAGCCGACCUGAGAGGGUGAUCGGCCACAUUGGGACUGAGACACGGCCCAAACUCCUACGGGAGGCAGCAGUAGGGAAUCGUCGGCAAUGGACGAAAGUCUGACCGAGCAACGCCGCGUGAGGGAAGAAGGGUUUCGGAUCGUAAAACUCGGUUGGUAGAGAAGAACGUUGGUGAGAGUGGAAAGCUCAUCAAGUGACGGUAACUACCCAGAAAGGGACGGCUAACUACGUG
rnacentral:rRNA from 1 species